rnacentral:rRNA from 1 species
CAGUAGCCACGGUAAUACGAAGGGUGCAAGCGUUACUCGGAAUUACUGGGCGUAAAGCGUGCGUAGGUGGUGGUUUAAGUCCGUUGUGAAAGCCCUGGGCUCAACCUGGGAAUUGCAGUGGAUACUGGAUCACUAGAGUGUGGUAGAGGAUAGUGGAAUUUCCGGUGUAGCAGUGAAAUGCGUAGAGAUCGGAAGGAACAUCUGUGGCGAAGGCGACUAUCUGGGCCAACACUGACACUGAGGCACGAAAGCGUGGGGAGCAAACAGGAUUAGAUACCCCGGUAGUCCCUGUCUCUUAUAC